rnacentral:rRNA from 1 species
CAGCAGCCGCGGUAAUACGUAGGGUGCGAGCGUCAAUCGGAAUUACUGGGCGUAAAGCGUGCGCAGGCGGUUGUGUAAGACAGGUGUGAAAUCCCCGGGCUUAACCUGGGAACUGCGCUUGUGACUGCACAGCUAGAGUAUGGCAGAGGGGGGUGGAAUUUCACGUGUAGCAGUGAAAUGCGUAGAGAUGUGGAGGAACACCGAUGGCGAAGGCAGCCCCCUGGGCCAAUACUGACGCUCAUGCACGAAAGCGUGGGGAGCAAACAGGAUUAGAUACCCCUGUAGUCCCUGUCUCUUAUAC